rnacentral:rRNA from 1 species
UACGUAGGGGGCUAGCGUUGUCCGGAUUUAUUGGGCGUAAAGAGCGUGUAGGCGGCCAGGUAGGUCUGCUGUGAAAACCCGUGGCUCAACCAUGUGGUCUGCAGUCGAUACGGGCAGGCUAGAAUUCGGUAGGGGAGACUGGAAUUCCUGGUGUAGCGGUGAAAUGCGUAGAUAUCAGGAGGAACACCGGCGGUGUAGACGGCUCUCUGGACCGUAACUGACGCUGAGAUACGAAAGCGUGGGUAGCAAACAGG